AAAACGCAAGACAUUUGAAUUUUAGUAAAUUCCAUAUUUUAAAAAAUUGUAAAACUCAAUAUUGAGCUAAAACUCAAAAACUGCUCUCAUUAAAUUUUUUGAAGCGCGGUAUGGAAAUCAGCACUAAAUUGUACUUUAAAAAUGUUGUCGUUGACAGAAGUUCACGACUUUCGUUUUAUUUUGUAAACUAGUAUUAUUGGCUCAUUAAAACGUUAUAACUCGAAAGUUUCGCCAGAAACCACUUCAAAGCGAAAUGUAGUUGAAAAGAGAAAAGCUAGAGGUACUUUUUGCAGUUAUAAAAAAAUUGGUCGGCCAUAUUGAUUUCGGCCGCCAUCUUGAUUUUUUUUUUUUGCUAGGUUUCUAGCUGCACUCUGAAUAGAGUUGAAACCUCUACACUAGACCUGAAGAUAGAAAAGAGUACGUAAUCUUUCAGAAGCAGUUUGCCAGCCGUACGCGGAAAAUGAUAUCCAUUAAGACACUGUUGCAAACUGACUCAAAAAGUUACGGUAUAAGAUUGGAAAGUUUUCAAUUGGUCAGUCAGUCAGGAUUCGCCUAUGUAGUGUUAUGGUCACACAAGUUAUGUUUGUCUCUUCUUUAAUUUUGUGGUAUGGUUCAAUAUGUAUUUCUCCUCGUUAAGUCAGUUGUCGUAUGUUUGUUUUUUUUUUUCAUCGAAUCAAUCGAACCCCGUAUGUUAAAAUAUAGUCGAUCCUGUGUCAAAUUGUUUUCUUGAUUUCGCUAAUCGAUUCCUACUUCGCUGUCUUCAUCUCUUGUCCUCAAAUUGUCGUCGGUCCAAAACCCACAGAAACAUGUAACUGAAUUUCUGUAGGUGUCAUAAUACCAUCUAAGAGAUA